rnacentral:lncRNA from 1 species
GUGAAGUCAACGCUUCAUAAAUAUCAGUGUGAAGUCAAUGCUUCCAAACUAACAAAGUUUGUCUCCAUCUGGUGGUGAACAGGAGAAAUGCACCACUUCCAGAGACACAGCUGAAAGCAGUGAUAAUCAGAGCACAUGGAGGUCAGGAGCAACGCACAGGCUGUCUGAGGACAGCUGACGACCACAUAACUGACCAGCGCCACCAGUGCCUCUGCCUGCACCUGGUCAUCCACCAGCCAGGCCCCGCCUGUGGUCUGAGGAGACGUCUUCAUGUGCUGCUGUGUCAGAACCGCUGAUGUUGUCACCUGGAAGGCCGGAUUUCUGCGAGGAAGGUAAUGUGUCUGCAACUGUUCUCU